rnacentral:rRNA from 1 species
CCUACGGGGGGCAGCAGUGGGGAAUAUUGCACAAGGGGGGGAACCCUGAUGCAGCGACGCCGCGGGGGUGAAGGAGUAUUUCGGUAUGUAAAGCCCUAUCAGCAGGGAAGAACAAUGACGGUACCUGACUAAGAAGCACCGGCUAAAUACGUGCCAGCAGCCGCGGUAAUACGUAUGGUGCAAGCGUUAUCCGGAUUUACGGGGUGUAAAGGGAGCGCAGGCGGCGCGUUAAGCCUUGUGUGAAAGCCCGCGGCCCAACCGCGGGACUGCAUUGGGAACUGGCGCGCUGGAGUGCCGGAGGGGUAGGCGGAAUUCCUAGUGUAGCGGUGAAAUGCGUAGAUAUUAGGAGGAACACCAGUGGCGAAGGCGGCUUACUGGACUGUAACUGACGUUGAGGCUCGAAAGCGUGGGGAGCAAACAGGAUUAGAUACCCGUGUAGUC